UCCUCUCUGUGGCACUGACUGGGCUGAGAGAGAGAGGGUGCCCCCAGCCAGUGCCAGUAUGCUGAGGGCUGUGGGUGUGUGAAUAGGGCAGAUUUUCCCUCUCUCGCUUUCCCCUCUAGCGUAGUGCCAGAUGCCCUCUUUCCGCUUCUCUACGCUGGCACCCUGGCACCCGAGUUGGAUGUGAAUCCGUCAAGUGUUGGGUGAUUGUUUUUUUUUUUUCUUUUUUUCUUUUUUUUUUUUCGUUUCGGAUUUUUCACCCCCAUAUUAUUCGAAGUGAACUUUAUCGUUUUUUUUUUUUAUAUAAACAGAAGGUGGUGAGAUAAAGGAAAGAUUUAAAUUUUUUUUGGAAAAAAAAAGUAUUUACAUGAAUAUAAUAUCGUAUUAUUAUAUUGUUUAUUUUGAUACUAACAAAAGCAGAGUGGACGAGGUUACGUAAGGGAGCUGAAAAUGGUCUUGAUUUUGAUCCUUAUGGCAACAUAUGAUAAGGGAGGCUUUUGCUUGUGAUUCGGUUGAAAUUUCUCAAUGGGAAAAUUCUUCAGAAGAGGUUGAGUGAAUAAGGACAACAGAAAAUCAAAGAAAAUUAAGAAAGGAAAAUAAACAUCAUAAAAGGAAGAAAUAGAUAUAAGGAAUAAGGAAAGGCAAGAUAUAUGUGUGAAAUAGAUAGAGAUAUAGAAAUGUGAAUUGUCAAAAACGCAGUGAAGUAAUUUCUUAUUAUGGCUUUGAUUACCAGAUGAAGUUUUAGAUAAAAGGAUGUAAAGAAACGAAGGUAAUAGUGCAAAGAAAAGAAGAGAAAAAAAUACGUUUGUAUAUGGAACUGUGUGUGUGUGAAAAUAUCGGGUGAUAAUUGAAGAAAAGAGAUUUUUGUGAAGAAAAGUUGAAAUUUGAAGCUUUCUAAGUGGACUGCUUUGUGAAAAAGAAAGAAAAAAGUGACAUAUUUUAUACAGAAAUAAUAAUAAUAGUAAAUAAUAAUAGUAAUAAUAAAGAUUAACGGAUGUUCCCAACCACCUGAAAAUAAGUGAGAGAAAAUCAAAUCAUAUACAAAGCAUUAAAAAGAAAAUACAUACCAAUUACCACUCGAUCUCUCACGUUUCUCUCGCCGAAAUAAAAAAGAGAAAAAAUAAAUAAAACCCAAGAUCGAAGGGAGAAUAAAAGAGAAAGAGAGAGAGAGAGAGAGAGCGAAAGAAAAAGUGGAUAGUGAAAGGGUUGGUGAAGUUGUACUAGUGUUUAUUUUGGUGAAGUGAAGGUUGGGACCACGAGCCAAAAAUACUCCAAGAAGGAUCGGGACCUGCAGACGACAACCCGCUGCAAGAUUACAGGAGGAGUUUCUACAUGUCUUGUAAGGUCAGGAGAGGUCAAACUGUCGGACUUAGGCAGAAGGUAAGUAUAUAUGUUUAUGUCUGUUAGUGUGUUCUGUUGUAGUGUCUGUAUAGGUAUAUGUAUAUGGAGUUUAG